rnacentral:rRNA from 1 species
GAUGAACGCUGGCGGCGUGCCUAAUACAUGCCAGUCGAGCGAACAGAUGAGGAGCUUGCUCCUCUGACGUUAGCGGCGGACGGGUGAGUAACACGUGGAUAACCUACCUAUAAGACUGGGAUAACUUCGGGAAACCGGAGCUAAUACCGGAUAAUAUAUUGAACCGCAUGGUUCAAUAGUGAAAGACGGUUUUGCUGUCACUUAUAGAUGGAUCCGCGCCGCAUUAGCUAGUUGGUAAGGUAACGGCUUACCAAGGCAACGAUGCGUAGCCGACCUGAGAGGGGGGACGGCCCACCCGGGAAGGGGAAACGGGCCCAGACCCCAAGGGGGGGAGGAAGGGGGGAACUUUCGGAAAGGGGGAAAAGCCUAACGGAGCAACGCGGGGGGGGGAAGAAGGUGUUUGGGUUGGAAAAACCUUUUUAUUGGGAAAAAAAAAAGGGUAAAGUAACUAGGCCCGCCUGACCGGUACCAAAUAAAAAAGCCACGGCUAAUUCGGG